GCAUCUGUACCUCAGUUUGUUAGAGCGCUGCAUCGGAAUUGCAGAGCCGCAGGCAAUUCGAUUCCUGCCGGAGGAC